UCGACGGAUUUUUGUCGUAGCUUGCUAUGAUAAAAAUUAGUGGCAGACGGGUGAGUAAUGCAUAGGAAUCUACCUAGUAGUAUGGGAUAGCCACUAGAAAUGGUGGGUAAUACUGUAUAAUCCCUGCGGGGGAAAGAUUUAUCGCUAUUAGAUGAGCCUAUGUUAGAUUAGCUAGUUGGUAGGGUAAAGGCCUACCAAGGCAGUGAUCUAUAGCUGGUCUGAGAGGAUGAUCAGCCACACUGGAACUGAGAUACGGUCCAGACUCCUACGGGAGGCAGCAGUGGGGAAUAUUGGACAAUGGGCGCAAGCCUGAUCCAGCUAUGCCGCGUGAGUGAGGAAGGCCUUAGGGUUGUAAAACUCUUUCAGUGGGGAAGAUAAUGACGGUACCCACAGAAGAAGUCCCGGCAAACUCC
rnacentral:rRNA from 1 species